GAUGAACGCUGGCGGCGUGCCUAACACAUGCAAGUCGAACGGAGCUGCUUUGAUGAAGUUUUCGGAUGGAUUUAAAACAGCUUAGUGGCGGACGGGUGAGUAACGCGUGGGUAACCUGCCUCACACUGGGGGAUAACAGUUAGAAAUAGCUGCUAAUACCGCAUAAGCGCACGGUUCCGCAUGGAACAGUGUGAAAAACUCCGGUGGUGUGAGAUGGACCCGCGUCUGAUUAGCCAGUUGGCGGGGUGACGGCCCACCAAAGCGACGAUCAGUAGCCGGCCUGAGAGGGUGAACGGCCACAUUGGGACUGAGACACGGCCCAAACUCCUACGGGAGGCAGCAGUGGGGAAUAUUGCACAAUGGGGGAAACCCUGAUGCAGCGACGCCGCGUGAGUGAAGAAGUAUUUCGGUAUGUAAAGCUCUAUCAGCAGGGAAGAAAGUGACGGUACCUGAAUAAGAAGCCCCGG
rnacentral:rRNA from 1 species